rnacentral:rRNA from 1 species
ACGUAGGGGGCGAGCGUUGUCCGGAGUUACUGGGCGUAAAGGGUACGCAGGCGGUCUGCUGCGUUUGUGGUGACAGCUCCCGGCUAAACUGGGAGAGUGCUACAAAGACGAGCAGACUUGAGGGCCAGAGAGGGAAACGGAACUCCGAGUGGAGCGGUGAAAUGCGUAGAGAUUCGGAAGAACACCAAAGGCGGAGGCAGUUUCCUGGAUGGCACCUGACGCUCAGGUACGAGAGCUAGGGGAGCAAACGGGAUUAGAUACCCCGGUAGUCCUAGCCGUAAACGAUGACCACUAGGUGUGGGAGGUAUCGACCCCUUCCGUGCCGUCUCAAACGAACUAAGUGGUCCGCCUGGGGAGUACGGUCGCAAGAUUA